rnacentral:ncRNA from 1 species
UAAAAAAUAGGCGCAUCAUUGACCGACCUAUUCUACUCUUAGAAAGGUUUGAGUAAGAGCGCAUCUGUUGGGACCCGAAAGAUGGUGAACUAUGCCUGAAUAGGGUGAAGCCAGAGGAAACUCUGGUGGAGGCUCGUAGCGAUUCUGACGUGCAAAUCGAUCGUCAAAUUUGGGUAUAGGGGCGAAAGACUAAUCGAACUGUGUAGUAGCUGGUUCCCUCCGAAGUUUCCCUCAGGAUAGCUGGAACUUACGGCAGUUUUAUCAGGUAAAGCGAAUGAUUAGAGGUCUUAGGGUUAAAACAACCUUAACCUAUUCUCAAACUUUAAAUUGGUAAGAAGUCCGACUUGCUUAAUUGAAGCCGGACAGUGAAUGCGAGUUCCUAGUGGGCCAUUUUUGGUAAGCAGAACUGGCGAUGCGGGAUGAACCGAACGCGCGGUUAAGGUGCCAAAGUCGACGCUCAUCAGACCCCACAAAAGGUGUUGGUUGCUCUAGACAGCAGGACGGUGGCCAUGGAAGUUGGAAUCCGCUAAGGAGUGUGUAACAACUCACCUGCCGAAGCAACUAGCCCUGAAAAUGUAUGGCGCUCAAGCGUCGCACCUAUACCGUGCCGUCGGAGCAGAUGCGAAGCUCCGACGAGUAGGAGGGCGUGGGGGUCGUGACGCAGCCUCUGGCGCGAGCCUGGGUGAAACGGCCUCCAGUGCAUAUCUUGGUGGUAGUAGCAAAUAUUCAAAUGAGAGCUUUGAAGACCGAAGUGGAGAAAGGUUCCAUGUGAACAGCAGUUGGACAUGGGUUAGUCGAUCCUAAGAGAUAGGGAAAUUCCGUUUGCAAGCGCCCGAUCUUGGGCUGCCUAUCGAAAGGGAAUC